rnacentral:lncRNA from 1 species
UUAUAUUUCUUUUUUUUUAAAUAUAUUUUAUUUGAUCAUUUCCAAGCAUUAUUCGUUAAAGAUCAUUUUCUUUUCCUCCCCCCCACCCCCCAUAGCCGACCCGUAAGUCCACUGGGCAUUAGAUGUUUUCUUGAUUUGAACCCAUUGCUUUGUUGAUAGUAUUUGCACUAGAGUGUUCAUUUAGAGUCGGUCCUCUGUCAUGUCCCCUCAACCUCUGUAUUCAGGCAGUUGCUUUUCCUCUGUGUUUCCACUCCCAUAGUUUAUCCUUUGCUUAUGAAUGGUGUUUUUUUCUCCUGGAUCCCUGCAAGUUGUUCAGGGACAUUACACCGCCACUAAUGGAGAAGUCCAUUACGUUCGAUUAUACCACAGUGUAUUAGUCUCUGUGUACAAUGUUCUCCUGGUUCUGCUCCUCUCGCUCUGCAUCACUUCCUGGAGGUUGUUCCAGUCUCCAUGGAACUUCUCCACUUUAUUAUUCCUUUUAGCACAAUAGUACUCCAUCACCAACAUAUACCACAGUUUGUUCAGCCAUUCCCCAAUUGAUGGGCAUCCCCUCGUUUUCCAGUUUUGGGCCACCACAAAGAGCACAGCUAUGAAUAUUUUUGUACAAGUCUUUUUGUCCAUUAUCUCUUUGGGGUACAGACCCAGCAGUGCUAUGGCUGGGUCAAAGGGUAGAUAUUCUUUUGUCGCCCUUUGGGGUACAGACCCAGCAGUGCUAUGGCUGGGUCAAAGGGUAGAUAUUCUUUUGUCGCCCUUUGGGCAUAGUUCCAAACUGCCCUCCAGAAUGGUUGGAUCAGUUCACAACUCCACCAGCAAUGAAUUAAUGUCCCUACUUUGCCACAUCCCCUCCAGCAUUCAUUACCUUCCUUUGCUGUUAUGUUAGCCAAUCUGCUAGGUGUGAGGUGAUACCUCAGAGUUGUUUUGAUUUGCAUCUCUCUGAUUAUAAGAGAUGUAGAACACUUCUUCAUGUGCUUGUUAAUAGUUUUGAUUUCUUUAUCUGAGAACUGCCUAUCCAUUUAAGGGUAGAUAUUCUUUUGUCGCCCUUUGGGCAUAGUUCCAAAUUGCCCUCCAGAAUGGUUGGAUCAAUUCACAACUCCACCAGCAAUGAAUUAAUGUCCCUACUUUGCCACAUCCCCUCCAGCAUUCAUUACUUUCCUUUGCUGUUAUGUUAGCCAAUCUGCUAGGUGUGAGGUGAUACCUCAGAGUUGUUUUGAUUUGCAUCUCUCUGAUUAUAAGAGAUGUAGAACACUUCUUCAUGUGCUUGUUGAUAGUUUUGAUUUCUUUAUCUGAGAACUGCCUAUCCAUUUAAAGGUAGAUAUUCUUUUGUCGCCCUUUGGGCAUAGUUCCAAAUUGCCCUCCAGAAUGGUUGGAUCAAUUCACAACUCCCACCAGCAAUGAAUUAAUGUCCCUACUUUGCCACAUCCCCUCCCAGCAUUCAUUACUUUCCUUUGCUGUUAUGUUAGCCAAUCUGCUAGGUGUGAGGUGAUACCUCAGAGUUGUUUUGAUUUGCAUCUCUCUGAUUAUAAGAGAUGUAGAACACUUCUUCAUGUGCUUGUUAAUAGUUUUGAUUUCUUUAUCUGAGAACUGCCUAUCCAUUUAAGGGUAGAUAUUCUUUUGUCGCCCUUUGGGCAUAGUUCCAAAUUGCCCUCCAGAAUGGUUGGAUCAAUUCACAACUCCACCAGCAAUGAAUUAAUGUCCCUACUUUGCCACAUCCCCUCCAGCAUUCAUUACUUUCCUUUGCUGUUAUGUUAGCCAAUCUGCUAGGUGUGAGGUGAUACCUCAGAGUUGUUUUGAUUUGCAUCUCUCUGAUUAUAAGAGAUGUAGAACACUUCUUCAUGUGCUUGUUGAUAGUUUUGAUUUCUUUAUCUGAGAACUGCCUAUCC